ACGCUGGCGGCGUGCCUAAUACAUGCAAGUAGAACGCUGAAGAGAGGAGCUUGCUCUUCUUGAAUGAGUUGCGAACGGGUGAGUAACGCGUAGGUAACCUGCCUUGUAGCGGGGGAUAACUAUUGGAAACGAUAGCUAAUACCGCAUAACAAUGGGUGACACAUGUCAUUUAUUUGAAAGGGGCAAUUGCUCCACUACAAGAUGGACCUGCGUUGUAUUAGCUAGUAGGUGAGGUAACGGCUCACCUAGGCGACGAUACAUAGCCGACCUGAGAGGGUGAUCGGCCACACUGGGACUGAGACACGGCCCAGACUCCUACGGGAGGCAGCAGUAGGGAAUCUUCGGCAAUGGGGGCAACCCUGACCGAGCAACGCCGCGUGAGUGAAGAAGGUUUUCGGAUCGUAAAGCUCUGUUGUAAGUCAAGAACGAGUGUGAGAGUGGAAAGUUCACACUGUGACGGUAGCUUACCAGAAAGGGACGGCUAACUACGUGCCAGCAGCCGCGGUAAUACGUAGGUCCCGAGCGUUGUCCGGAUUUAUUGGGCGUAAAGCGAGCGCAGGCGGUUUGAUAAGUCUGAAGUUAAAGGCUGUGGCUCAACCAUAGUUCGCUUUGGAAACUGUCAAACUUGAGUGCAGAAGGGGAGAGUGGAAUUCCAUGUGUAGCGGUGAAAUGCGUAGAUAUAUGGAGGAACACCGGUGGCGAAAGCGGCUCUCUGGUCUGUAACUGACGCUGAGGCUCGAAAGCGUGGGGAGCGAACAGGAUUAGAUACCCUGGUAGUCCACGCCGUAAACGAUGAGUGCUAGGUGUUGGAUCCUUUCCGGGAUUCAGUGCCGCAGCUAACGCACUAAGCACUCCGCCUGGGGAGUACGACCGCAAGGUUGAAACUCAAAGGAAUUGACGGGGGCCCGCACAAGCGGUGG
rnacentral:rRNA from 1 species